rnacentral:lncRNA from 1 species
AGUGCUUAUCAUCCAGUGGGAACUGGGGUGCCAGGGUGCCAGGCAACAGAGCAGUUGAUGGAGACAGUUCCAGUGCCAUUAUGAGCUGUUAAAAGGGGAUCUGACGUGUGCAUUCCAGACCCUGAUACUACUUCUUGUCCAGUCAUUCAACAACAUAGUAUUCCCUAUAGGCCCAGCAUGUCUGUCUAUGUAUCUGAUUUCACAAUCCCAUGACAUAGGAAGAAAAACAGAAGUACCCACCUGGUGACAGGCUAGCAGGCACAAGGAUAGACAGAAUGUGCACCUGAAGGAGUUCACCUAGGAGAGCUGAGGAGGCACAAAGACCUGCAUUCUACCACCUCCUUUUCCAAGCCAAGCCUAGGUGACAGGCCCCUGAGCUGCAAGUGUUUCCAGCACUGCCAUUACAAAUUAGUGGAAAUGAUCAGACCCCCAGGCAGACUGGUUCUCAGCCUGCUUCAGAGGGGCAGAUGUUCUGCAAAACCAGCCAGUGACCCACAGAGAAGACUGGCAAGCCCGCAAGGCUCUCAUUGGACCCCUCUGUGGCUUCUGCCUCCC